rnacentral:rRNA from 1 species
CCUUCCGAAAGGAUUUCUAAUACCGAAUGAGACCACAGUAACUACGGUUACAGGGGUUAAAGGUGACCUCUACUUGUAAGUUAUCACUUGGAGAUGGGCUUAUGCACCAUUAGCCUGUUGGUGAGGUAACGGCUCACCAAAGCUUUGAUGGUUAGCUGAUCUGAGAGGUUGAUCAGCCACACUGGAACUGAGACACGGUCCAGACUCCUACGGGAGGCAGCAGUAGGGAAUAUUGCGCAAUGGAGGAAACUCUGACGCAGCGACGCCGCGUGGGUGAUGAAGGCUUUCGGGUCGUAAAGCCCUGUCGGAAGGGAAGAAAAACAGAAUGGCUAAUAUCCAUUUUGCUUGACGGUACCUUCAGAGGAAGCACCGGCUAACUACGUGCCAGCAGCCGCGGUAAUACUGUAGGGUGCUAGCGUUGUUCGGAAUCAUUGGGCGUAAAGCGCGUGUAGGCUGUUAGGUAAGUCUUGUGUGAAAUCCCUGGGCUCAACCGAGGGAAGUGCAUGGGAAACUACCUAGCUAGAAGACGGUAGAGGAAGGUGGAAUUCCUAGUGUAGAGGUGAAAUUCGUAUAAUAUUAAGGAGGAAUUACCGGGUGGCGAAGGCGGGCUUUUUGGGCCCGAUAUUUGACGCUUAAACCGCGAAAGCGUGGGUAGCAAACAGGAUUUAGAUACCCUGGUAGUCCACGCCGUAAACGAUGGGUACUAGAUGUUGCGGGAAUUGACCCCUGCAGUGUCGACGUUAACGCAUUAAGUACCCCGCCUGGGAAGUACGGUCGCAAGAUUAAAACUCAAAGGAAUUGACGGGGGCCCGCACAAGCGGUGGAGCAUGUGGUUUAAUUCGAUGCAACGCGAAGAACCUUACCUGGGUUUGACAUCCCCAGACAGCCGUAGAGAUACGGUUUCCCCUUCGGGGGCUGGGAGACAGGUGCUGCAUGGCUGUCGUCAGCUCGUAUCGUGAGAUGUCGGGUUAAGUCCCUUAACGAGCGCAACCCCUAUCCCUAGUUGCCAUCAUUCAGUUGGGCACUCUAUGGAGACUGCCGGUGUUAAACCGGAGGAAGGCGGGGAUGACGUCAAGUCCUCAUGGCCUUUAUAUCCAGGGCAACACACGUGCUACAAUGGCCGGUACAGAGGGUCGCCAACCCGCAAGGGGGAGCUAAUCUCAGAAAGCCGGU